rnacentral:rRNA from 1 species
AGAGCUCAAAUUUGAAAUCUGGCGGUCCCUUGGGCUGUCCGAGUUGUAAUCUAGAGAAGUGCUACCUGUGCUGGACCGUGUACAAGUCUCCUGGAAUGGAGCAUCACAGAGGGUGAGAAUCCCGUCUUUGACACGGACUGCCUGUGCGAUAUGGUGCGCUCUCGAAGAGUCGAGUUGUUUGGGAAUGCAGCUCAAAACGGGUGGUAAAUGCCAUCUAAAGCUAAAUAUUGGCGAGAGACCGAUA